GGGUCUGUUGUGGGAGCCUAGGGGAGGGACAGCAGGGGUGGGGAGGUUGGGGAGGGAUAACAUGGGGAGAAAUGCCAGAUAUAGGUGAUGGGGGGAUGGAGGCAGCAAACCACAUUGCCAUGUAUGUACCUACGCAUCACUCUGCAUGUUCUGCACAUGGACCCAAACCUAAAGUACAAAAUAUAUAUAUAUAUUAAAAAAAACCACUUUCCUAAGAUCCAAAACUCAGGUGAGUGACCACAGGACCUGUUGGAGUUCGCAUCACUGAAAGAGGCCCUGAGGAGGGUAGGAAGGACAGUCUUGAUCACCCUCCCCCAACACCCCCGAAACUCCAGCAGCAGCCGUGUGGUGCAGAGAGAGAAUCUGUGCACUUGGAGGAGGGCGGGCACGGUGACCGUGGGGCUUUGUGUGGGAACUCAGUGCUGCUGCCCUGUCGCAGCAGAAAGCAACAUGGGGCAGAACUCAGCGGCGCCCAUAGAGGGAGGGUUUAGACCAGCCCUAGCCGGAGAAAAAUCGGCCAUCUUCAGUGGAUGGCACCCAGGUUCCCAUGGCAGUUCCUGGGCUCGGAGCCAGAGGACUUGGGGAGAGGAGAGGGAAGGGUAGGGAGGAUAUUGUCUUGCUUCUUGGAUACUGGCUCAGCCGCAGGAAGACAGGGCACGGGUCAGAGUUGUGAGGCCCUCGUUCCAGGCCGUAGCUCCCAGAUGACAUUUCCAGACACACCCUGGGCCAGAAGGGAACCGUCUCCCUUGAAAAGAAGGAGCCAGUCCUAAUGGGACACAUCACCUCCCAACCGAGGAGCCCUUGGGCCCUGAAGAACAGUAGCGAGACCCCGGCCACACUAGCGCUGGCUCAGGUGAGUCUCAGAGCCGCACGGGACCCAAGUGUGACCCAGCACAUUCCCAGCUGUGGUGGCCACAGGCAGAGACCCCUUCUGCUUGAGGAAAGGAGAGGGAAGAGGAAAGGAGACCCCACAGAGGACGAGGACAUCAGCUACUCAGGAGGCCGAAGCAGGAGAACCGCUUGAACCCGGGAGGCAGAGGUUGCAGGGAGCCAAGGUUACACAAUUGCACUCCAGCCUGGGCGAUAGAGCAGCACUCCACCCCAACAUAAACAAACAAAGAAAACAUAAAAUAGCUAGAAGAGAGGAAUUGCCACGUGUCAAGAAAAGACAAAUAAAGUCAACAAAAUAAUCUAAAGCUCCUUGAAU
rnacentral:lncRNA from 13 species